rnacentral:rRNA from 1 species
UACGGAGGGUGCGAGCGUUAAUCGGAAUUGCUGGGCGUAAAGCGCACACAGGCGGUUUGUUAAGCUAGAUGUGAAAGCCCCGGGCUCAACCUGGGAUGGUCAUUUAGAACUGGCAGACUAGAGUCUUGGAGAGGGGAGUGGAAUUCCAGGUGUAGCGGUGAAAUGCGUAGAUAUCUGGAGGAACAUCAGUGGCGAAGGCGACUCCCUGGCCAAAGACUGACGCUCAUGUGCGAAAGUGUGGGGAGCGAACAGG